UACAGAGGUGGCAAGCGUUGUUCGGAAUUACUGGGCGUAAAGGGUGCGUAGGCGGUCGGGUAAGUCUGAUGUGAAAUCUCGCAGCUCAACUGCGAAACUGCAUUGGAUACUAUUCGGCUUGAGGUCUGGAGGGGGGACUGGAAUUCUCGGUGUAGCAGUGAAAUGCGUAGAUAUCUGGAGGAACACCGGUGGCGAAGGCGGCAUCCUGGACCGGCAUUGACGCUGAGGCGCGAAAGCCAGGGGAGCAAACGGG
rnacentral:rRNA from 1 species